UUUCGCUCUCCUGCAUGUGCGGCCAUGUUCAAGGCAGAUGAGUGACCACAGGGCCACAGCUGAAACUCACUGAAGCGUAAUGUGGUGAAUGAGUAGACCAACCGUUGUCUUUGAAGAAUUUAUUAAUAAAAAGAGAAUGACAGAGAAGUACUACAUCGUUAAUCCGCUGGGCCAGAGGUUCUGAUCCCAGGACAUCCACUAACGCCUGGCCUCAGGCAAAAGGGAAGCAUAAUCAUUUACACAGUUUAGGUUUCUAUGUUUAGAAUAUAAUGUUUGUAUAUUUGGGGAACAGAGAUCCUUGAAUGCACAUUCAAGCAGAGUAGAGAAACAGCAAGACCCUAGUAAAUGUAGACAGACUAACAUAAGGCGUAUAGAAGAAGGAAAGGUUAAGGAUAAAAUAACACAAUAUAUCUAUAAGACAUAACAAUAAUAGUAAUAAUAAUAGUAAAAGAACAUGCAUAAAAGUUUAAAUGUAAGUGGAAAUAAUUAAACAACUAAGACUGUGAAUUUGUCCCCCAUCAUUUAUACUGGAAGUGCAUUAGGGAGUGAUCUCUUCACGGCCAGGAUGAACAAUUAAGCAAUAAAUAACAUUAUGGGCACCUGACUGUUGUUUUAGACAGACUUGAAAAAUUGCAAAUGUUUCGUUUAAGGACAGUUAAAGAUAGAUGGGGUGGUGAUGGGGCAGUGGAUAAGAUGCCUGCCUUUGGUGUGAGAGACCCGGGUUCAAUCUACCAACGUGUCCCUGAGCAAGACACUUAACCCCUAGUUGCUCCAGAGGCGUGCGACCUCUGACAUAAUUAGCAAUUGUAAGUUGCUUUGGAUAAAAGCGUCAGCUAAAUGAAUAAAUGUAAAGACAGCUAUAAAUCAACCUGGCCAUAUAAAGCAAUGCAAAAAUCAUAAACAUUGUGUGACAGGUCCUGAACUACUUUUAUUCACGGGAAUAUUUCUCAGCAUAUUAUAUUUUCACUUUCACAAAAUAAAUGUUAUUAGCCAAUAUUAGUGUGAACAGACUAUAAUGCUAAAUCUAUAAUGAGAACUACAUACUCUGUUGUGGUGGCAGCCCGGCUGACAGUGAGUGUCCUGUUUAUUUCUCCUUUUUUCCUACCAUUCUGUUUUCCCUGCCUCUCUGUGUCUCCUCCGCUCACCCUGCUUGUGUUCUCCCUCUCUCUCUCCACUCCUGAGUCCAGCUGACGAUCCACACCUGCACCUCAUCAGCAGCCUCCUCUGCCUGCCACACCUGCCAGCAAUCACUCCAUCUCUGCCAGUAAAUCAACCCCGGUUCUCCACACAAUCACCGCUUGAUCGUCGUUGCUCCUGACCUGGUUCACUCACCUCCGUCCCCCGUCGUGCCAGCUAGGCUCGCCUACCUGCCCUCUCCCCUCAGGUGUCUUCCACGGCGUCCUCUCUGCUCCCCCCUCGCUCCUCGCCAGUCUACCUGCCACCACACCCACCUUCUCCCAUCCCUAUGGUCAGUUCUCCCAGGCCUCCUCUCCUCCUCAGUCCUCUGUUCCCCUAGGCUCCCUCGCCUCUGCCCCACCUGCUCCUUGGUCCUCCGUGCCCGUGUUCCCGGGCGUCCAGCCAGGAAUAAAGCUUUAGAAAAUAGUGCUGAAAACAUUA